GGCGAGAAGCAGUUUUAGCCCAAA
rnacentral:siRNA from 1 species